UUCUCAAUAUCAAUAGGCCGAUUUUUCCUUUUAUAUGAUUUUGUUGAUAUUAAAUUUAUUUCAGAACCAUGAUCAAUCAAUGCUACAAUUGGUUCUUCUAAAACUCCCAAUUUUACUAAAGUUUCCGUAGUAGCCCUUGUCCAAUGAUUCCAAGAAUAUUGACUAGAAGCUUGAAUCAUAUCUUCUUUUUUUGUAAAUUUGACUCAUGAAACAUCUCCAACAAUUUACAUUUCAAUUUCUUUAUCUUCAUUGCUUCUUAUUUCUUUUAUACCUUGUGCAUUUGAUAUCAUAGUAUCACCAAUAAAUUACCGUUUUCUUUUUAUUAUAUCAAUAAUAACUUCAUGAAAUUCUCGUUUUACAAUUCCUAGAAUUUCACCAAUUGUAAAUUCAACCUU
rnacentral:lncRNA from 1 species